rnacentral:rRNA from 1 species
UACGGAGGGGGGCUAGCGUUGUUCGGAAUUACUGGGCGUAAAGCGCGCGUAGGCGGCUUUGUAAGUUAGAGGUGAAAGCCCGGAGCUCAACUCCGGAACUGCCUUUAAGACUGCAUCGCUAGAACGAUGGAGAGGUGAGUGGAAUUCCGAGUGUAGAGGUGAAAUUCGUAGAUAUUCGGAAGAACACCAGUGGCGAAGGCGACUCACUGGACAUCUGUUGACGCUGAGGUGCGAAAGCGUGGGGAGCAAACAGG